GAUGAACGCUAGCGGGAGGCCUAACACAUGCAAGCCGAGCGGUAUUUGUUCUUCGGAACAGAGAGAGCGGCGCACGGGUGCGGAACACGUGUGCAACCUGCCUUUAUCUGGGGGAUAGCCUUUCGAAAGGAAGAUUAAUACCCCAUAAUAUAUUGAGUGGCAUCACUUGAUAUUGAAAACUCCGGUGGAUGGAGAUGGGCACGCGCAAGAUUAGAUAGUUGGUGAGGUAACGGCUCACCAAGUCAAUGAUCUUUAGGGGGCCUGAGAGGGUGAUCCCCCACACUGGUACUGAGACACGGACCAGACUCCUACGGGAGGCAGCAGUGAGGAAUAUUGGACAAUGGGUUAGCGCCUGAUCCAGCCAUCCCGCGUGAAGGACGACGGCCCUAUGGGUUGUAAACUUCUUUUGUAUAGGGAUAAACCUACUCUCGUGAGAGUAGCUGAAGGUACUAUACGAAUAAGCACCGGCUAACUCCGUG
rnacentral:rRNA from 1 species